rnacentral:misc_RNA from 1 species
GAUGAAGAACGCAGCGAAAUGCGAUAAGUAAUGUGAAUUGCAGAAUUCAGUGAAUCAUCGAAUCUUUGAACGCACAUUGCGCCCCUUGGUAUUCCGAGGGGCAUGCCUGUUCGAGCGUCAUUAUAACCCCUCAAGCUCAGCUUGGUGUUGGGGCCUGCUGCACUGGCAGCCCUUAAAAUCAGUGGCGGCGCCAUCUGGCUCUAAGCGUAGUUAUUCUUCUCGCUAUGGAGUCCUGGUGGAUGCUUGCCAUCAACCCCCAAUUUUUCUAUGGUUGACCUCGGAUCAGGUAGGGAUACCCGCUGAACUUAAGCAUAUCAAUAAGCGGAGGA